AUUGAACGCUGGCGGCAUGCUUUACACAUGCAAGUCGAACGGCAGCGCGGGCUUAGGCCUGGCGGCGAGUGGCGAACGGGCGAGUAAUGCAUCGGAACGUGCGCAGUAGUGGGGGAUAGCGCGGCGAAAGACGGAUUAAUACCGCAUAAGAGCUGAGGGUGUAAGCGGGGGAGCGAAAGGUCUUCCGCCAUUGCAGCGGCCGAUGUCGGAUUAGCUAGUUGGUGGGGUAAAGGCUUACCAAGGCGACGAUCCGUAGCUGGUCUGAGAGGACGAGCAGCCACACUGGGACUGAGACACGGCCCAGACUCCUACGGGAGGCAGCAGUGGGGAAUUUUGGACAAUGGGGGCAACCCUGAUCCAGCCAUGCCGCGUGCGGGAAGAAGGCCUUCGGGUUGUAAACCGCUUUUGUUCGGAAAGAAAUCCUCUAGGCUAAUACCCCGGGGGUAUGACGGUACCGGAAGAAUAAGCACCGGCUAACUACGUG
rnacentral:rRNA from 1 species